ACACAGCCGCUUCCAGAAACCGCCCUUCGGGGAUGAGAGAAAAUUUUCCGUAAAAUAACACCUCGCGGCCUGCUGUUCCUCUCCAGAUGUCCGUGCUGACCCGUGAUGCACACUUAGAGACUCAGAAGCCUUGUCACACCAGUAUUGUAUUACAGAGAUACCAUUGGUUCCUCUGAAGAAACUCUUAACAAUAUGCUGGGCAUCCUGUGUUCAUGCAGCUUCCAAUAGAGCCCUGAUGGAUUUGCCCAUGGUACCUGUACAGAGCAGAUCCUGUCCAUAUAGAGAAACUCUCCCUUUUGGUCAUUUGAGGUAAUGUAUUAUUUCCUUACAAGAAAACAACUCUAUCCCUAAAGGAUGUUCUCAUGACAACUUGUGUGCUGUUAGAUAAGGGUAAGGGCCAUGCAAGAGGUGUAAUUGUGCCAGGCAAGAGCUGCCUGCA